rnacentral:rRNA from 1 species
GACGAACGCUGGCGGCGUGCUUAACACAUGCAAGUCGAACGGAAAGGCCCUGCUUGCAGGGUGCUCGAGUGGCGAACGGGUGAGUAGCACGUGGGUGAUCUGCCCCUUACUUUGGGAUAAGCCUGGGAAACUGGGUCUAAUACUGGAUAGGACCAUGCUGUAGGUGGUGUGGUGGAAAGAUUAGUUUCGGUAAGGGAUGAGCUCGCGGCCUAUCAGCUUGUUGGUGGGGUAAUGGCCUACCAAGGCGUCGACGGGUAGCCGGCCUGAGAGGGUGGACGGCCAGAUUGGGACUGAGAUGCGGCCCAGACUCCUACGGGAGGCAGCAGUGGGGAAUAGUGCACAAUGGGCGCAAGCCUGAUGCAGCGACGCCGCGUGGGGGGUGACGGCCUUCGGGUUGUAAACUCCUUUCAGCCAUGACGAAGCCCUUGUGGUGACGGUAGUGGUAGAAGAAGCACCGGCUAACUACGUG